UACGUAGGGUGCGAGCGUUAAUCGGAAUUACUGGGCGUAAAGCGUGCGCAGGCGGUCUGUUAAGACAGAUGUGAAAUCCCCGGGCUUAACCUGGGAACUGCAUUUGUGACUGGCAGGCUAGAGUAUGGCAGAGGGGGGUAGAAUUCCACGUGUAACAGUGAAAUGCGUAGAGAUGUGGAGGAAUACCGAUGGCGAAGGCAGCCCCCUGGGCCAAUACUGACGCUCAUGCACGAAAGCGUGGGGAGCAAACAGG
rnacentral:rRNA from 1 species